rnacentral:tRNA from 2 species
GCUGUGAUCGUAUAGUGGUUAGUACUCUGCGUUGUAACCGCAGCAACCCCGGUUCGAAUCCGGGUCACGGCA